GGUUGUAGCUCAGUGGUUGAGCGCUUGCUUUGAAUGCAUGAGGCACUGGGUUCGAUCCUCGGCACCA
rnacentral:tRNA from 1 species